rnacentral:rRNA from 1 species
GACGAACGCUGGCGGCGUGCUUAACACAUGCAAGUCGAGCGGACAGGCCCUGCUUUUGUGGGGUUCUCGAGUGGCGAACGGGUGAGUAACACGUGAGUAACCUGCCCUUGACUGUGGGAUAACUUCAGGAAACUGGGGCUAAUACCGGAUAUGAGCUCCUGCUGCAUGGUGGGGGUUGGAAAGUUUCGGCGGUGGGGGAUGGACUCGCGGCUUAUCAGCUUGUUGGUGGGGUAGUUGCUUACCAAGUCUUUGACGGGUAGCCGGCCUGAGAGGGUGACCGGCCACAUUGGGACUGAGAUAGGGCGCAGACUGGUACGGGAGGCAGCAGUGGGGAAUAUUGCACAAUGGGCGGGAGCCUGAUGCAGCAACGCCGCGUGCGGGAUGACGGCUUUCGAGUUGUGAACAGAUUUCGACUGUGACGAAGCGUGAGUGACGGUAAUGAGUAAGGAAGCACCGGCUAACUACGUG